rnacentral:lncRNA from 1 species
GAUAGAUACAUGUAAUUGUGCACUCGUCCAAACAUAGAAUGUACAACAGCAGGAGCAGUCCCCAAUGUAAACUGUAAAACAUUGAGUGGUGAUGUAACAAUGUAGGUUUAUGGGUUGUAACAGAUGUACUGCUCUGGUGCAGAAUGUCAAUAGUUGGGGAGGCUGUGCACAUGCAGGGCAGGGGACAUAUGAGAAAUCUCUCUACUUUCUGCUCAGUUUUGAUGUGAUCCUACAACUGCUCUAAAGAUGAUCUUGUCCUUCCUACAUAAUCCAUGUUGGACACUAUGAGGCUCUUCAUCCUGCGGGGGUAUCCAAGAUGCUGCUAUACAGCCCUGAGAAACAGAGGAAUGUCCCUACUCUGCAUUCCAUCAUAGCUGCCUCAUUGUCCAGGCCUGUAGUAUUUCCAGCUGCCCAGGAGGCCUCAGGUGCAGAGGAUACAGAUGGGCCAUUCCCAUGGGUAUGGCCACUCCCCUCAUGA